GAUAGUUUAAGUGAGCUAUUAUGCAAGCUUGAAAAGAGUUCAGCAAAUACAAAUAGGGUGGAAGAUGUUGGUAAAAAAAUGUCCUCAAGAUCUCAUAUAUGAUGGUGAUGUGCAACCUUGCUUAGAUGAUGAGAGACCAAUCCUUGAUCUGCCACAUGUGAGAAAGAAAGGGAUAGCCAAUUUUAGAAUAAAAAGUCAACCGGAAAAGAAGCAAAGAAAAGAGAGAGUGAAAGAUGCAACCACUUCAAGAGCUCCAAAAGCUAUUUCUAUGGUACAUGAAAAUGUUCAAUCAUCAUUUCUUCCUCCAAAGAUAUCUAUUGCUAAUCCUAUGGUUAGCUCUACAACAAUGCUUCAAGAAAAUCAUUUGAAAAAAAGGAACAUAAGAAAAGUAAAAGAUGCAACCACUUCAAAAGCUCCAAAAGCUAUUUCUAUGGUACAUGAAAAUGUUCAAUCAUCAUUUCUUCCCCUGGAGAUGUCUAUUGGUAAUCCUGUGGUUAGCUCUACAACAAUGCUUCAAGAAAAUCAUUUGAAAAAAGGAACAUAAGAAAAGUAAAAGAUGCAACUACUUCACAAGCUUAAGAAGCUAUUUCUAUGGUACAUGGGCCCUACUAAAAAUUUCUGAAGUAUGAAGAAAAACUCUUUUGGAUAGUAUUUUGGACAAUAUACUUCACAGCUCAUGGACAACAUCUUUGGACAAUUUUUUGGACAGCAUUUUGGUCAUUAUUGCACAGUGAAAGAACCUCUUAGAUAGGAUAUUUGACUUGAAAAUUUGGACAACUAAUUGCAUAGCCAAACAGUAAUUAUAGCUGUCAUUUUGCAAGGCUUUUGUAAUUUAUGAAAUUAGUCA